GAUGAACGCUGGCGGCGUGCUUAACACAUGCAAGUCGAACGAUGAAGCCCAGCUUGCUGGGUGGAUUAGUGGCGAACGGGUGAGUAACACGUGAGCAACCUGCCCCUGACUCUGGGAUAAGCGCUGGAAACGGUGUCUAAUACUGGAUAUGAGCUCCUGCCGCAUGGUGGGGGUUGGAAAGAUUUUUCGGUUGGGGAUGGGCUCGCGGCCUAUCAGCUUGUUGGUGAGGUAAUGGCUCACCAAGGCGUCGACGGGUAGCCGGCCUGAGAGGGUGACCGGCCACACUGGGACUGAGACACGGCCCAGACUCCUACGGGAGGCAGCAGUGGGGAAUAUUGCACAAUGGGCGGAAGCCUGAUGCAGCAACGCCGCGUGAGGGAUGACGGCCUUCGGGUUGUAAACCUCUUUUAGCAGGGAAGAAGCGUGAGUGACGGUACCUGCAGAAAAAGCACCGGCUAACUACGUGCCAGCCGCCGCAGUAAUAC
rnacentral:rRNA from 1 species